AUGAGCUCCGGUCAGCGAAAGCGCCCUGGAGAGGUGCUGGAUUCCGCUCCAGCUCAGAAACGGAGCAGGCUGCUGGCCUCCAGAGCAGGUGGAACUUGGCAGACAGAGACAGUAGAGCCUGAAGUCAUAGAUCUCACAGGAGAUUCUCCACAGCCUGAAGUCAUCACUACCAGUGACGAUGAAUCUCCUGUGCAGAGCCAGCAGCAGCCACGUCUUUCCAGGGCCUCAGAGAAUUCAGCUGAGCCACUGGAAAGGAACAGUGCAGAGGAAGCAAGAGAAGAUGAUGGGGCACAGCCAGCAGAUCCUGCUAGUCCUCUGAGUAGGGAGGAUGACAACUCAGAGGGGCAGGACAGGGAGCUGAGUCAGCUGAACGCACAGGAUUCCAGCGAGGCAGAGACUUCAGCUGAGCUCUGGCCGAGUGAGGAUGAAGAGGAAGCAAGAGACAACGAUGAUGCAUGGACAGCAAGUCCCAUUAGUCCUCUAAUUCCUGAGGAUGACAACGCAGAGAGCCAGGCAUACCCACUUGGCUCCAGACCAGCCGAGGAUGCAGCUGAAGUCCUGGCAAAUGAGAAUGAAGAGGAGCCACAAGAUAUUGAAACGUAUGUGACAGAUAAAGAGUCUCUCCAAAGUCUAAUCUCUGCUAGAUGGUAGAAAGAGGCUUCUGCCAAGCUUUAUGACAGUUCUACUCUGUAGAUGAAGUCUUAAUUGAAGGUAUCUUUCAGUAACACUUG
rnacentral:lncRNA from 1 species